rnacentral:rRNA from 1 species
GCUACCAUGCAGUCGAACGAUGAACCGCUUUCGGGCGGGGAUUAGUGGCGAACGGGUGAGUAACACGUGGGCAAUCUGCCCUGCACUCUGGGACAAGCCCUGGAAACGGGGUCUAAUACCGGAUAUGACUGUCCGCCGCAUGGUGGAUGGUGUAAAGCUCCGGCGGUGCAGGAUGAGCCCGCGGCCUAUCAGCUUGUUGGUGAGGUAGUGGCUCACCAAGGCGACGACGGGUAGCCGGCCUGAGAGGGCGACCGGCCACACUGGGACUGAGACACGGCCCAGACUCCUACGGGAGGCAGCAGUGGGGAAUAUUGCACAAUGGGCGAAAGCCUGAUGCAGCGACGCCGCGUGAGGGAUGACGGCCUUCGGGUUGUAAACCUCUUUCAGCAGGGAAGAAGCGAGAGUGACGGUACCUGCAGAAGAAGCGCCGGCUAACUACGUGCCAGCAGCCGCGGUAAUACGUAGGGCGCAAGCGUUGUCCGGAAUUAUUGGGCGUAAAGAGCUCGUAGGCGGCUUGUCACGUCGGUUGUGAAAGCCCGGGGCUUAACCCCGGGUCUGCAGUCGAUACGGGCAGGCUAGAGUUCGGUAGGGGAGAUCGGAAUUCCUGGUGUAGCGGUGAAAUGCGCAGAUAUCAGGAGGAACACCGGUGGCGAAGGCGGAUCUCUGGGCCGAUACUGACGCUGAGGAGCGAAAGCGUGGGGAGCGAACAGGAUUAGAUACCCUGGUAGUCCACGCCGUAAACGGUGGGCACUAGGUGUGGGCAACAUUCCACGUUGUCCGUGCCGCAGCUAACGCAUUAAGUG